UAUCUUGCAAUAUGCAAAAUA
rnacentral:misc_RNA from 1 species